rnacentral:tRNA from 1 species
GCCGAGGUCGCAUAACCCGGUAGUGCGCCGGUCUUGAAAACCGGUUCCGCAAGGAAUUGCAGGUUCAAAUCCUGCCCUCGGCG